rnacentral:rRNA from 1 species
UACGUAGGGUCCGAGCGUUGUCCGGAAUUAUUGGGCGUAAAGAGCUCGUAGGCGGCAUGUCGCGUCUGCUGUGAAAGACCGGGGCUUAACUCCGGUUCUGCAGUGGAUACGGGCAUGCUAGAGGUAGGUAGGGGAAACUGGAAUUCCUGGUGUAGCGGUGAAAUGCGCAGAUAUCAGGAGGAACACCGGUGGCGAAGGCGGGUUUCUGGGCCUUACCUGACGCUGAGGAGCGAAAGCGUGGGGAGCGAACAGG